GACGAACGCUGGCGGCGGGCUUAACACAUGCAAGUCGAACGGAAAGGCCCUGCUUUUGUGGGGUGCUCGAGUGGCGAACGGGUGAGUAACACGUGAGUAACCUGCCCUUGACUUUGGGAUAACUUCAGGAAACUGGGGCUAAUACCGGAUAGGAGCUCCUGCUGCAUGGUGGGGGUUGGAAAUUUUCGGCGGUUGGGGAUGGACUCGCGGCUUAUCAGCUUGUUGGUGGGGUAGUGGCUUACCAAGGCUUUGACGGGUAGCCGGCCUGAGAGGGUGACCGGGCACAUUGGGCCUGAGAUACGGCCCAGACUCCUACGGGAGGCAGCAGUGGGGAAUAUUGCACAAUGGGCGGACGCCUGAUGCAGCAACGCCGCGUGCGGGAUGACGGCCUUCGGGUUGUAAACCGCUUUCGCCUGUGACGAAGCGUGAGUGACGGUAAUGGGUAAAGAAGCACCGGCUAACUACGUG
rnacentral:rRNA from 1 species